GUUGGGGUUCUUGUUCUUCCCUGCUUGUGUGCAGGUUCCUGUAUGGCUUCAAGGUCACCAUAGACGAAGUGGUGGAGCUUGAGGUUCUGCACGCGCAUAGCCUAUUGAGUGCGUGUGUGUAUGUCUGCUGGCACCUUCACGAGGUUCCACUUCCGGUCUUUAUACCAACCAACCAGGGUUAGGACGUGCAGCAAAGCACAAACCCUAGGCUAGGCCUACCCCAUCAAGGAAAGAGAGAGUGAAGGCCUGCAGACACAGAGGAAUGCGUGGAGAGACGCACUUUCAGUGGUUUCUAACUCGUUACCUCGUUAACCUGUUAGCUAUUGAAACU